rnacentral:rRNA from 1 species
UGGGGAAUAUUGCACAAUGGGCGCAAGCCUGAUGCAGCCAUGCCGCGUGUGUGAAGAAGGCCUUCGGGUUGUAAAGCACUUUCAGCGAGGAGGAAGGUGGUGAGCUUAAUACGCUCAUCAAUUGACGUUACUCGCAGAAGAAGCACCGGCUAACUCCGUGCCAGCAGCCGCGGUAAUACGGAGGGUGCAAGCGUUAAUCGGAAUUACUGGGCGUAAAGCGCACGCAGGCGGUUUGUUAAGUCAGAUGUGAAAUCCCCGGGCUCAACCUGGGAACUGCAUUUGAAACUGGCAAGCUAGAGUCUCGUAGAGGGGGGUAGAAUUCCAGGUGUAGCGGUGAAAUGCGUAGAGAUCUGGAGGAAUACCGGUGGCGAAGGCGGCCCCCCUGGACGAAGACUGACGCUCAGGUGCGAAAAGCGUGGGGAGCAAAACAGGAUUAGAUACCCUGGUAGUCCACGCUGUAAAACGAUGUCGAUUUGGAGGUUGUG